rnacentral:rRNA from 1 species
AUUGAACGCUGGCGGCAUGCUUUACACAUGCAAGUCGAACGGCAGCACAGGGAGCUUGCUCCUGGGUGGCGAGUGGCGAACGGGUGAGUAAUGUAUCGGAACGUGCCUGGUAGUGGGGGAUAACUACUCGAAAGAGUGGCUAAUACCGCAUGAGAUCUUUGGAUGAAAGCGGGGGACCUUCGGGCCUCGUGCUACUGGAGCGGCCGAUAUCAGAUUAGGUUGUUGGUGGGGUAAAGGCCUACCAAGCCUGCGAUCUGUAGCUGGUCUGAGAGGACGACCAGCCACACUGGGACUGAGACACGGCCCAGACUCCUACGGGAGGCAGCAGUGGGGAAUUUUGGACAAUGGGCGCAAGCCUGAUCCAGCAAUGCCGCGUGCAGGACGAAGGCCUUCGGGUUGUAAACUGCUUUUGUACAGAACGAAAAGGCUCUGGCUAAUAUCUAGAGAUCAUGACGGUACUGUAAGAAUAAGCACCGGCUAACUACGUG